AAGCCAGCUCGUGACCUAAUCCGCCACCAACCGCAGACGGCUCCGCCUCUCCUGCCGCCGCCGCCUCCUCCUGCUGCCGCCGCCUCCUCUCCUCCACUUCUCUCCUCCUCCCGUCGAAGACCUAGCGCGUGGUCGCUGUUGCCACUCGCCCCUCUCCUGCUCCCGCGUCUUCGACCCCGCCCUCGCCAGCUCCCGAUGCUCUGUCGAGUGGAGAAGAGGGGUGCGGCAGACAAGGAGACCGGAGGAUGGCGUUGGGGGAAGGAGCAGUAGGGUUGGAGCACCCUGGCCAUCGUACCCAUCCCCAACGCCUCACCCGCUUCCUCCGCACCUCGCCCCGUUCCCCUCCUUCCCUGCUCUCCACUACGCCUCCUCCUCUCCUUCAGUUUUCUCUUCGGCGACGCUGCCAAAGAAAGUGCACACGAGCGGUGGAUCCGUGCCGGAGAAGGGUGGCGGCGACUGCGCUCCGGUCAUGGUGCGGUGCAGCCGCCGGGAAGAUAAAGGUGAGGACUUGUUGGUGAGCUGCUACAACAUCGACUGCGGCAUGAACGAGUUCGCAAUAUUGCCGACGCAGGUGAGCUACCUAUCUGCUUAACUGCUCUUAUUAAUUCCUUAAGUGAAUAUUCAGUCAUUCGCUGCUUUGCUGUGUUGCUAAUGCGUUUAUCUGAACUGAAUCUGGCGAUGCAUUAUCAGAGGAUCCCGCUUUGAUUUCUUUAUAAAUAAUCUGAUAAUCAUAUACUCCAUCCGUCCCAUAAUAUAAGAGCGUUUUUGACACUCGGCCGGAGUAAUAGUUUGACUGUACUGAAUUCGCUUGUCUGAAAUCAUUCAAUAACAUUCCUUAGCUGAAUAUUCUGUCAUUCGCUGCUUACUUGUGGUGUUAGUUAGUUUGUCUGAACUGAAUCUGCAGAUGCAUUAUCUGAACCCACUUUCAUUUCUCUCUACACAUGGUCAUACAAUAAUUCCCUUGGUUGAAUUCUGAUUAAACAAUUGCCUACUCUGUUUGGUUUGAUUGGGAUACCCUCAUGGAUAAAAGGUAGUAUUUUAUUGAUUGGAGCACUCUGUUUGUAAAAGGACAGUCUCUUAUGUUCCUACUCCACAGCUGUAUUCCAACACCCCUUCAGACUUUGAUUUCAAGCUUGAAAGUCUAGCACAAGAAUUCGGCUCCCUGUCUGAAUUCGCAGAGCAUCUUGCUGCCAACGUUGACAUUGUCUUCCCAGUGAUACAUGGGAAAUUUGGUGAAGAUGGUGGUAUUCAGGUUCGGAGUUACCAACGAAUAUUAAAUAUGCUUUACAUGCAAGAGAAAAUUAUGCUGGUGCCACAGUGCAUGCUUGCAGGUAUUAGUGCGCUUGAUUUGGCACGGAACUGGCAUGUAAUGCUGACUGUGUCUUGGUUCUUUUAUAAGAAUCCCACAUUGCUGCUGCUUUCUGUUGAUGAUAAGACGCUAACACCUACCAAAUGGCUGCGCUCCGGUCGUGCCGGGGUGCAGCCGCCGGGAAGAUAAAGUAGGUCUGCCGCCCGUCUCCGCCUCUCACCGCGCCCUUACUGCCUCCAUGGCCAAGCGCACGUUUUUUUUCUCUGUCCCUCCAUGGCGCUCGUUACCGGCGGGAUACAUUUGACACUAUCUCAAAUCCAGUUUAUUUGACAUGUGUUUGAAAUGUAUAUUUAGCAUAAAGAUAAUACUGCAUUUCCUUAGGGACUUAGUUUUGGCUCUGUUCUUGCUCAUAUUAUAAGUAAAAUAUUAAUACUUUGUGUCUCCAGCCAGUUCUUGAUCAAAGGAAGAUGCAUUAACAAUUCGUGUCUCCAACCGGUUUAGAUCAUAGGAAACUAUGGCAUAAUGCACUGCUGAAUUUUCUUGUUAGUGCUCACUCACAAUAUUUGUUCUCACGUACGGUAAUGCCUUUCGGUUAAACUAGGAAUUAGUUCAUUAUUGAAAGGUUUCAUCUGCAUAUUUUUUUGCUUCAUUCAUUUUUGGUCUAUUUAUUUUGCAUAGAAAACCAUCUUUGGUAUGCUUUAAUAGGGCUUAUUUAAUACAGUACAAGCAAAAUUGGAAGUAAUAGCAAACCAGCCAUGAAAAGUUUGAGAGACCAUGCAAACCACAAGAAAUGAUGUGCUCCUGUUAUUUUGCCAUGAUCUUGUGGCCCAAUUCCAAGGCUCUAUCAACUAAUGUUAGCUACUUGCUUCUUUGGAUGCCUUAAUUAGAGCCAGGGAGGAAGAUGGGGAAGACAGAGCCAGCAAGGAAGAUGGCUCGGCCCUGCCGCUGAUGCCCACCGGCCACUUCCGUCAGGCUCCGUCGUGGGAGGGGGCGCACCAUUUUUGGGUGUUCCUUCCUACAGCUAUCUUGACCAUUUGCUUUGGAAGGAGUAAUUCAACUCUGGAAGAACAAAUAAUUUGAGACUUUUUGUCUUUCCUACGAUCUGUUCAGGAACUGUAUCACAACAGAUCAUUGGCAUUGUAGCUUCAGUGGACAUGUAUGCUGAAUAUCCCCUCACAGGGCAAGAUUGGAUUUUAGUGUAUACAAGCCCUCCUCUCAGCUGCUCAGGCAUAAACACCUUACUGCAAAUGUUCUUCGUGUCUCGCCUCCCCGUCGUGAUGGGUGGCUCCUACAGCUUCGCCAUGCCAACCAUCUCCAUCAUCUUGGCUAGACGCUACAACAUGUGGGAGAUCCUCACGAGUUUAACACAUAUUGGAGGGUGGGAGGAUAUACCGGUGCAAUGGAUGAACCAAGACUACCAAGAGGUCAAUUGCGUGAGUAUAUGCCAACUAUCUGAAUACAUAUGGCAUGAGACUGACGCCGAUUAGUUCCUCCCUGAAUGCUUGACUAUGCUUGACUGCCAGGUCUUCUUUCAUCGGAAAUUGUUGUGCACUGAUAAUUUUGUUAGUUCUCACCCUCCCUAUUCAAACAUAAUUCAAGCAUAUUAUGUGAUGUAUGUAUAUAAGAAGCUUAGUCGUGUGUCAGGCUUUGCAAAUAAAACUUAGAGCUCAAGUAGUUCAGAAUCAUACUGGAUAUCGUUUAUCAUGUAUCUAUAAUAACAAGCAUAACUGACUAUGAUUUUUUUAGGAUAUUAUUUGCAGAUUUUAGGAAAGGAAACCUGACAGAGUUUCAAGGAAGUGGAGUGAGUUCCCUAUUUACAUUUAAAUUGUACUCCCUUCCUUCUUGAAAAGAAGGCAUAUCAGUUUUGGUCAAAGUCAAACAAUGUAUUGGUUUGCUCUUUUGUUACAUGUUCUUAAAUUAUUGCAUGAUGCAUCUCUAGGCGGUGAGAUCAGAAGCUGGGUGAUCAAAGCAACUACAUGAUGCAUCUCUGUCUAUGUAGCUGUUUACCAUAAGCUGGGUGAUCAAAGCAAUCUACAUGAUGCAUCUCUGUCUAUGUAGCUGUUUACCAUAAGCUAGGUGAUCAAAGCAAUCUACAUGAUGCAUCUCUGUCUAUGUAGCUGUUUACCAUAAGCUGGGUGAUCAAAACAAUCUACAUGAUGCAUCUCUGUCUAUGUAGCUUUACUUAGCAUAAACUGAUCUUAAUGACUUUGUUUAAACCUAUGAGCCUACCAUCUAUGUAGCUUCAUACCAUCUAUAUAAUGUGUCCCUUCCUAUCUACUUCCCUUGUGUAUCACAUUGUAACGAAGCAUUUAUGUACCAGUAGUAAAGACUUGGGUGUCUGAAUAUUCUCACAA